rnacentral:rRNA from 1 species
UACAGAGGUCCCGAGCGUUGUUCGGAUUCACUGGGCGUAAAGGGUGCGUAGGCGGUCGGAUAAGUUUGAUGUGAAAUCUCCGGGCUUAACCCGGAAACUGCAUUGAAUACUAUUCGGCUUGGGGUCUGGAGGGGGGACUGGAAUUCUCGGUGUAGCAGUGAAAUGCGUAGAUAUCGAGAGGAACACCAGUGGCGAAGGCGAGUCCCUGGACAGGUCCUGACGCUGAGGCACGAAAGCUAGGGGAGCAAACGGG